AGAGUUUGAUCAUGGCUCAGAGUGACCGCUGGCGGCGUGCCUAACACAUGCAAGUCGGACGGGUCCCGGGUAGCAAUAUCUGGGAUCAGUGGCGAACGGGUGAGUAACACGUGGGUAACCUGCCCUCGAGUGGGGAAUAAGCUCCCGAAAGGGGGUCUAAUACCGCAUAACGUUUCAUGGCGAUGGUCAUGAAACCAAAGCCCAAAAGGCGCUCGAGGAGGGGCCUGCGUCCUAUCAGCUAGUUGGUAGGGUAAUGGCCUACCAAGGCUACGACGGGUAGCCGGCCUGAGAGGGUGUCCGGCCACACUGGGACUGAGACACGGCCCAGACUCCUACGGGAGGCAGCAGUGGGGGAUUUUGCGCAAUGGGGGAAACCCUGACGCAGCGACGCCGCGUGGAGGAUGACGGCCUUCGGGUUGUAAACUCCUGUCAGAGGGGACGAAAUCCCGCAAGGGACUGACGGUACCCUCAGAGGAAGCCCCGGCUAACUACGUGCCAGCAGCCGCGGUAAUACGUAGGGGGCAAGCGUUACUCGGAAUUACUGGGCGUAAAGGGUGAGUAGGCGGCUGGGCAAGUCAAGGAUGAAAUCCCGAGGCUCAACUUCGGAACUGUCCUUGAAACUGCUCAGCUUGAGGGUAGUUGAGGAGAGCGGAAUUCCCGGUGGAGCGGUGAAAUGCGUAGAUAUCGGGAGGAACACCUGAGGCGAAGGCGGCUCUCUAAGCUACUCCUGACGCUGAAUCACGAAAGCUAGGGGAGCAAACGGGAUUAGAUACCCCGGUAGUCCUAGCCGUAAACGAUGGACACUAGAUAUUCCGGCGUUUUCGCUGGAGUGUCGUAGCUAACGCGUUAAGUGUCCCGCCUGGGGAGUACGGUCGCAAGGCUGAAACUCAAAUGAAUUGACGG
rnacentral:rRNA from 1 species